rnacentral:rRNA from 1 species
GAUGAACGCUGGCGGCAUGCCUAAUACAUGCAAGUCGUACGCAAUCACUUUUUUCGCUCGCAGCCGUGGAAUGCAAGUUCCACCAUUGCGAGCGGAAGCAAUGAGUGAUUGAGUGGCGGACGGGUGAGUAACACGUUGGUACCUGCCCCGAAGUGGGGAAUAACUGCUCGAAAGGGUAGCUAAUACCCCCAUAGUCUACGGUUUAUCCGUAGUAAAGAUUUAUCGCUUCGGGAGGGGCCUGCGUCUGAUUAGCUAGUUGGUUGAGGUAAUGGCUCACCAAGGCGACGAUCAGUAGCUGGAUCGAGAGGUUGACCAGCCACACUGGGACUGAGAUACGGCCCAGACUCCUACGGGAGGCAGCAGUAAGGAAUCUUCCACAAUGGGCGAAAGCCUGAUGGAGCAAUGCCGCGUGCAGGAGACGCUUUUCGGAGUGUAAACUGCUUUUC